CCUACGGGAGGCAGUAGUGGGGAAUUUUGGACAAUGGGCGCAAGCCUGAUCCAGCUAUUCCGCGUGUGGGAUGACGGCCCUCGGGUUGUAAACCACUUUAGUAGAGAACGAAAAGGAGCUAUCGUAUAAAUAGCUCUGCUGACGGUACUCUCAGAAUAAGCACCGGCUAACUACGUGCCAGCAGCCGCGGUAAUACGUAGGGUGCGAGCGUUAGUCGGAAUUACUGGGCGUAAAGGGUGUGCAGGCGGCUGAGUAAGACAGAUGUGAAAUCCCCGGGCUUAACCUGGGAACCGCAUAUGUGACUGCAUGGCUAGAGUGCGUCAGAGGGAGGUGGAAUUCCACGUGUAGCAGUGAAAUGCGUAGAUAUGUGGAAGAACACCGAUGGCGAAGGCAGCCUACUGGGACGCAACUGACGCUCAUACACGAAAGCGUGGGGAGCAAACAGGAUUAGAUACCCCUGUAGUC
rnacentral:rRNA from 1 species